rnacentral:sRNA from 1 species
GGAUCCCGCCUUGCAUCAACUGAAUCGGAUCCUCGAGGU